ACGCUCGACACCUAGGAGGCAGCAGUCGGGAAUAUUGCGCAAUGGAGGAAACUCUGACGCAGUGACGCCGCGUAUAGGAAGAAGGUUUUCGGAUUGUAAACUAUUGUCGUUAGGGAAGAGAAAGGACAGUACCUAAGGAGGAAGCUCCGGCUAACUACGUGCCGGCAGCCGCGGUAAUCUGAGCGGGCUGGCAAGGC
rnacentral:rRNA from 1 species